GCUCGGCGACGACCGCCAGAUGGGUCA
rnacentral:sRNA from 1 species